UCUGGAGUAGCUCAACGGGCAGAGCAGCCGGCUGUUAACCGGAAGACUGCAGGUUCGAACCCUGCCUCCAGAGCCA
rnacentral:tRNA from 1 species